rnacentral:rRNA from 1 species
UACACUCCUGCGGGGGGCAGCAGUGGGGAAUUUUGGACAAUGGGCGAAAGCCUGAUCCAGCAAUGCCGCGUGAGUGAAGAAGGCCUUCGGGUUGUAAAGCUCUUUUGUCAGGGAAGAAACGGUGAAAGCUAAUAUCUUUUGCUAAUGACGGUACCUGAAGAAUAAGCACCGGCUAACUACGUGCCAGCAGCCGCGGUAAUACGUAGGGUGCAAGCGUUAAUCGGAAUUACUGGGCGUAAAGCGUGCGCAGGCGGUUUUGUAAGUCUGAUGUGAAAUCCCCGGGCUCAACCUGGGAAUUGCAUUGGAGACUGCAAGGCUAGAAUCUGGCAGAGGGGGGUAGAAUUCCACGUGUAGCAGUGAAAUGCGUAGAUAUGUGGAGGAACACCGAUGGCGAAGGCAGCCCCCUGGGUCAAGAUUGACGCUCAUGCACGAAAGCGUGGGGAGCAAACAGGAUUAGAAACCCGAGUAGUCCCAUGA